CAGUACUAUAAAUAUACCAUGGAUUGUGCAACGGAACAGUAGAUUUGUGAAGAUCAUACUAAACUGAGCAAGAUGUCGAAAAUCAUCGCUGUUUUGGUGUUGUUUGCCCUCCUUUGCUCCGUCACUCUUUGUCAAGAGUCGUGUGGCGUUUAUCACAGCAGCGCAUCGCCAAAUUGCUCGGGCAAAUCCCCACGUGAAGAUGUCUGUCGCCGAGCGGACCACCUGUGGACGUUCAGGCGCGGAGAGUGCGUGAAGCUUCCGGUCAAAUGUUACAGCCGCCUUAUGAUGGACAACGCCUUCGAGUCGAAGGGCGAGUGUGAAAGAUCGUGCAAAAGUGGUUAUUACUGGUAGAGCUAUUGGCAAUUGUGUUGUGCAUCCAAAUUUGAAAUGAUAAAGACUCGCUAUGCUUUGGGACUACUUUUCGCUUAUCUGUGAAUUGAAAUUCUUUUGAAUUUUUUUUUUUCGAAAACUGUGUUGGGGCAAUGUUUUAUUGGUGUUUUUGUUUGAUCGUUCAAAUUCAUACAAUACAUAACUUUUCGUCUUUUUUCAUGCCCUAUACCUUUAACAGAUCAUAGUUCUAUAUGUAUUUAAAUAAACUUUAGCUAUCCUCUA